CCUACGGGUGGCAGCAGUGGGGGAUAUUGCACAAUGGGGGAAACCCUGAUGCAGCGACGCCGCGUGGGUGAAGAAGGGCCUCGGCGCGUAAAGCCCUGUCAGCAGGGAAGAAAAUGACGGUACCUGAAGAAGAAGCCCCGGCUAACUACGUGCCAGCAGCCGCGGUAAUACGUAGGGGGCACGCGUUAUCCGGAUUGACUGGGUGUAAAGGGGGCGCAGACGGCGAUGCAAGACAGGAGUGAAAGCGCGGGGCCCAACCCCGGGACUGCUCUUGGAACUGCGUGGCUAGAGUGCAGGAGGGGCAGGCGGAAUUCCUGGUGUAGCGGUGAAAUGCGUAGAUAUCAGGAGGAACACCGGUGGCGAAGGCGGCCUGCUGGACUGCAACUGACGUUGAGGCCCGAAAGCGUGGGGAGCAAACAGGAUUAGAUACCCUUGUAGUC
rnacentral:rRNA from 1 species